UGGGGAAUAUUGCACAAUGGGCGGAAGCCUGAUGCAGCGACGCCGCGUGAGGGAUGACGGCCUUCGGGUUGUAAACCUCUUUCAGCAGGGACGAAGCGAAAGUGACGGUACCUGCAGAAGAAGCGCCGGCCAACUACGUGCCAGCAGCCGCGGUAAGACGUAGGGCGCAAGCGUUGUCCGGAUUUAUUGGGCGUAAAGAGCUCGUAGGCGGCUUGUCGCGUCGACUGUGAAAACCCGUGGCUCAACCAUGUGGUCUGCAGUCGAUACGGGCAGGCUAGAAUUCGGUAGGGGAGACUGGAAUUCCUGGUGUAGCGGUGAAAUGCGCAGAUAUCAGGAGGAACACCGGUGGCGAAGGCGGGUCUCUGGGCCGAUAUUGACGCUGAGGAGCGAAAGCGUGGGGAGCGAACAGGAUUAGAUACCCCCGUAGUCC
rnacentral:rRNA from 1 species